AUUGAACGCUGGCGGCAGGCUUAACACAUGCAAGUCGAGCGAGCGGCGGACGGGUGAGUAAUGUCUGGGAAACUGACUGAUGGAGGGGGAUAACUACUGGAAACGGUAGCUAAUACCGCAUACCAUCAGAUGUGCCCAGAUGGGAUUAGCUAGGAGGUGGGGUAAUGGCUCACCUAGGCGACGAUCCCUAGCUGGUCGGCGAGGAUGACCCGCCCCCCUGGAACUGGGCCACGGUCCAGACCCCUACGGGAGUCAGCGUUUGGUAAUAUUGCACAAUGGGCGCAAGCCUGAUGCAGCCAUGCCGCGUGUGUUAAGAAGGCCUUCGGGUUGUAAAGCACUUUCCGCGAGGAGGCGUUACUCGCAGAAGAAGCACCGGCUAACUCCGUGCCAGCAGCCGCGGUAAUUC
rnacentral:rRNA from 1 species